rnacentral:rRNA from 1 species
UAAGCGACUAAGCGUACACGGUGGAUGCCCUGGCAGUCAGAGGCGAUGAAGGACGUGCUAAUCUGCGAUAAGCGUCGGUAAGGUGAUAUGAACCGUUAUAACCGGCGAUUUCCGAAUGGGGAAACCCAGUGUGUUUCGACACACUAUCAUUAACUGAAUCCAUAGGUUAAUGAGGCGAACCGGGGGAACUGAAACAUCUAAGUACCCCGAGGAAAAGAAAUCAACCGAGAUUCCCCCAGUAGCGGCGAGCGAACGGGGAGCAGCCCAGAGCCUGAAUCAGUGUGUGUGUUAGUGGAAGCGUCUGGAAAGGCGCGCGAUACAGGGUGACAGCCCCGUACACAAAAAUGCACAUAUUGUGAGCUCGAUGAGUAGGGCGGGACACGUGGUAUCCUGUCUGAAUAUGGGGGGACCAUCCUCCAAGGCUAAAUACUCCUGACUGACCGAUAGUGAACCAGUACCGUGAGGGAAAGGCGAAAAGAACCCCGGCGAGGGGAGUGAAAAAGAACCUGAAACCGUGUACGUACAAGCAGUGGGAGCCUCUUUAUGGGGUGACUGCGUACCUUUUGUAUAAUGGGUCAGCGACUUAUAUUCUGUAGCAAGGUUAACCGAAUAGGGGAGCCGAAGGGAAACCGAGUCUUAACUGGGCGUUAAGUUGCAGGGUAUAGACCCGAAACCCGGUGAUCUAGCCAUGGGCAGGUUGAAGGUUGGGUAACACUAACUGGAGGACCGAACCGACUAAUGUUGAAAAAUUAGCGGAUGACUUGUGGCUGGGGGUGAAAGGCCAAUCAAACCGGGAGAUAGCUGGUUCUCCCCGAAAGCUAUUUAGGUAGCGCCUCGUGAAUUCAUCUCCGGGGGUAGAGCACUGUUUCGGCAAGGGGGUCAUCCCGACUUACCAACCCGAUGCAAACUGCGAAUACCGGAGAAUGUUAUCACGGGAGACACACGGCGGGUGCUAACGUCCGUCGUGAAGAGGGAAACAACCCAGACCGCCAGCUAAGGUCCCAAAGUCAUGGUUAAGUGGGAAACGAUGUGGGAAGGCCCAGACAGCCAGGAUGUUGGCUUAGAAGCAGCCAUCAUUUAAAGAAAGCGUAAUAGCUCACUGGUCGAGUCGGCCUGCGCGGAAGAUGUAACGGGGCUAAACCAUGCACCGAAGCUGCGGCAGCGACACUAUGUGUUGUUGGGUAGGGGAGCGUUCUGUAAGCCUGUGAAGGUGUGCUGUGAGGUAUGCUGGAGGUAUCAGAAGUGCGAAUGCUGACAUAAGUAACGAUAAAGCGGGUGAAAAGCCCGCUCGCCGGAAGACCAAGGGUUCCUGUCCAACGUUAAUCGGGGCAGGGUGAGUCGACCCCUAAGGCGAGGCCGAAAGGCGUAGUCGAUGGGAAACAGGUUAAUAUUCCUGUACUUGGUGUUACUGCGAAGGGGGGACGGAGAAGGCUAUGUUGGCCGGGCGACGGUUGUCCCGGUUUAAGCGUGUAGGCUGGUUUUCCAGGCAAAUCCGGAAAAUCAAGGCUGAGGCGUGAUGACGAGGCACUACGGUGCUGAAGCAACAAAUGCCCUGCUUCCAGGAAAAGCCUCUAAGCAUCAGGUAACAUCAAAUCGUACCCCAAACCGACACAGGUGGUCAGGUAGAGAAUACCAAGGCGCUUGAGAGAACUCGGGUGAAGGAACUAGGCAAAAUGGUGCCGUAACUUCGGGAGAAGGCACGCUGAUAUGUAGGUGAAGUCCCUUGCGGAUGGAGCUGAAAUCAGUCGAAGAUACCAGCUGGCUGCAACUGUUUAUUAAAAACACAGCACUGUGCAAACACGAAAGUGGACGUAUACGGUGUGACGCCUGCCCGGUGCCGGAAGGUUAAUUGAUGGGGUUAGCGGUAACGCGAAGCUCUUGAUCGAAGCCCCAGUAAACGGCGGCCGUAACUAUAACGGUCCUAAGGUAGCGAAAUUCCUUGUCGGGUAAGUUCCGACCUGCACGAAUGGCGUAAUGAUGGCCAGGCUGUCUCCACCCGAGACUCAGUGAAAUUGAACUCGCUGUGAAGAUGCAGUGUACCCGCGGCAAGACGGAAAGACCCCGUGAACCUUUACUAUAGCUUGACACUGAACAUUGAGCCUUGAUGUGUAGGAUAGGUGGGAGGCUUUGAAGUGUGGACGCCAGUCUGCAUGGAGCCGACCUUGAAAUACCACCCUUUAAUGUUUGAUGUUCUAACGUUGGCCCCUAAUCGGGGUUGCGGACAGUGUCUGGUGGGUAGUUUGACUGGGGCGGUCUCCUCCUAAAGAGUAACGGAGGAGCACGAAGGUUGGCUAAUCCUGGUCGGACAUCAGGAGGUUAGUGCAAUGGCAUAAGCCAGCUUGACUGCGAGCGUGACGGCGCGAGCAGGUGCGAAAGCAGGUCAUAGUGAUCCGGUGGUUCUGAAUGGAAGGGCCAUCGCUCAACGGAUAAAAGGUACUCCGGGGAUAACAGGCUGAUACCGCCCAAGAGUUCAUAUCGACGGCGGUGUUUGGCACCUCGAUGUCGGCUCAUCACAUCCUGGGGCUGAAGUAGGUCCCAAGGGUAUGGCUGUUCGCCAUUUAAAGUGGUACGCGAGCUGGGUUUAGAACGUCGUGAGACAGUUCGGUCCCUAUCUGCCGUGGGCGCUGGAGAACUGAGGGGGGCUGCUCCUAGUACGAGAGGACCGGAGUGGACGCAUCACUGGUGUUCGGGUUGUCAUGCCAAUGGCACUGCCCGGUAGCUAAAUGCGGAAGAGAUAAGUGCUGAAAGCAUCUAAGCACGAAACUUGCCCCGAGAUGAGUUCUCCCUGACCCUUUAAGGGUCCUGAAGGAACGUUGAAGACGACGACGUUGAUAGGCCGGGUGUGUAAGCGCAGCGAUGCGUUGAGCUAACCGGUACUAAUGAACCGUGAGGCUUAACCUUA